rnacentral:lncRNA from 1 species
UCUAGAGUGGAUCUUUAUGUUUGAAACACUAAAAAAAUUUGGUUUUAAAGAAAGUUUUUUAAAAUGGAUUCAACUAAUGUAUUCAGAUAUUAAGGGAUGUAUAACUAAUAAUGGCUGGGUUUCAAGUCGCUUUAAAGCAUUCCGUGGUAUUAAACAAGGCUGUCCGCUGUCUUCGUUACUUUUUGUUCUUGCUGUAGAAAUAAUGGCUAUAAAAAUUAGAGAAAAUAAAAAUAUUAAAGGAUUAGAAAUUAAGCUAGAAAGCAGCACUAAUACCCUAAAAAUAUGUCAACUAGCAGACGAUACUACUCUGUUCCUACAUUCUAAACAGGACAUUACAGUUGCAUUAAAUUUAAUUGAAACAUUUGGUAACUUUUCUGGCCUUAAACUAAAUAGAACUAAAACUGAAGGAAUAUGGCUUGGCAAAUUAAAGCACUGCAAAGAAAAAUAUGAAAAUAUUAAUUGGAGUAAUAAACCUAUCAAAAGUUUGGG